CGCCAACAAGCUAGCCCACCUUCACAAAACAACAAUCCAACAUAAAUAACCCCAAAUACACGCACCCCCGCUUGACCAAACCAUUUUCCCCCCUCAGUAUGGGCGACAGAAAAGGAAUUACCGGCGCGAUAGAAAAAGUACCGCAAGGGAACGCUGAAAAAGUGAAUGAAACAACCCAGUGAAGCCCAAAAAAGCAGAGAUUAACCCCCGUACCUUUUGCAUCAUGAUUUAGCUAGUAUUUCAACCAGGCACAGAGAACUUUAGUCUGAGUCCCCGAAACUACGUGAGCUACUCCAAGACAGCCUAUCGUAGGGCAAACCCGUCUCUGUGGCAAAAGAGUGGGAAGAGCUUUGAGUAGAGGUGACAAACCUAUCGAACCUAGUUAUAGCUGGUUGCCUGAGAAUUGGAUAGGAGUUCAGCCUCCGGGCUUCUCACUUCACCACGGUCCCGAACCUUCAUCGAUACCUAAAGAAGCCUAGAGAGUUAAUCAAAGGGGGUACAGCCCCUUUGAGACAAGAUACAACUUUUCCAGGAGGGUAAGGAUCAUAUUUAUCCAAGGUAAUAAUGCUCAGGUAGGCCUGAGACCAGCCAUCUUACUAGAAUGCGUUAUAGCUCGGGCAUUAUGACCCAUCCACAUAUUCUGAUAACCAAACCCUAACCCCCUAACAUUACCAGGCCGUCUCAUGCAAACAUGAGAGUAAAAAUGCUAAUAUGAGUAACAAGAUGGGCCUACGCCUUUCUCCUUGCACACGUGUACAUCGGAACGAACCCUCACCGAAACUUAACGGCCCCAAACGAAGAGGGCAAUGAACUACAAGUGAAUAACCAGAAAAUCAUCCAAAAAACAACCGUUAACCCUACACUGGUGUGCCCACAAGGAUAGACUAAAAGGAAAAGAAGGAACUCGGCAAACCCAAGCCUCGCCUGUUUACCAAAAACAUCGCCUCUUGCAAAAAUAAAGAAUAAGAGGUCCCGCCUGCCCUGUGACUAUAUGUUCAACGGCCGCGGUAUUUUAACCGUGCGAAGGUAGCGCAAUCACUUGUCUUUUAAAUGGAGACCUGUAUGAAUGGCAUUACGAGGGCUUAGCUGUCUCCUUUUCCAAGUCAGUGAAAUUGAUCUCCCCGUGCAGAAGCGGGGAUACACCUAUAAGACGAGAAGACCCUAUGGAGCUUUAGACACUAAGGUAUAUCAUGUUAAGCACCCCCAGCUAGAGGACUAAACUUAUUGACCCAUGCCCCUAUGUCUUUGGUUGGGGUGACCCCGGGGAAAUAAAAAACCCCCGAGCGGACCGGGAGUACUACUUUCUUACUCCUGAGACCAAGAGCGGCAGCUCGAACAAACAGAAUCUUUGACCGACAAUGAUCCGGCAAAGCCGAUCAACGGACCGAGUUACCCUAGGGAUAACAGCGCAAUCCCCUUUCAGAGUCCAUAUCGACAAGGGGGUUUACGACCUCGAUGUUGGAUCAGGACAUCCUAAUGGUGCAACCGCUAUUGAGGGUUCGUUUGUUCAACGAUUAAAGUCCUACGUGAUCUGAGUUCAGACCGGAGCAAUCCAGGUCAGUUUCUAUCUAUAGAGUGCUCUUUUCUAGUACGAAAGGACCGGAGAGAAGAGGCCAAUACCCAAGGCACGCCUCACCCUUCCUGUUGAAACCAACUAAAAUAGGCAAAAGGGCAUAUCCCUUAUGUCUAAGAUAAUGACAU
rnacentral:rRNA from 1 species